AAGCAAAACGGUGCCGUCAGAUUUAAACAAGAGCCUAGCCAGAGCUUUUCUGUAGUGGCAGCGUUCCAGUUGAAUUGGCAUCAGCGGCCCAAUUCAAUAGCGGCCCAAUUCAAUAGCGGCCCAGAUCAAGUGUGGUGCAUCAGACCAAUGUCAGCCCAAUUGCUUCCAAUCACUUGCAUUGCAGCGGUGCAGAAAACAGCGGCCAAAUUCAACCACCACCUCCCUAACUUUUUUUUAUUACAAAAAUAUCCUUUUUCCUUUACUUUUUUAACCUUUUUACUUUUUUUUUUUUACUUUUAACGUUAUUCAGCAGACCCUCAACCCUUAUUUUUACUCUGCUCACAAUCGCACCUCCCCAAAUUUUGAGAUCCGUCUCUUCGUGCGGUGGUGUGGUGCAGUGUACCUGUUCUUGCUCUUCGUGCGGUGGUAUUUCGCCGGGAGUGGUUGGCAUUGGUGGUAUGUGGUGCAGUUUCGUCUACCAGAGAGAGAGAGAAAAAGGGUGCGGUGGUGAUUCCAGAUGCUGUGAAAAUGGGGAAAAGUGAGCAACAGGAUGUGCUGGAAGAAGGACAGAGUGGUGUGAGUGAGGUUGAGGCUCCACUCUGUUGUGUCCUUCUUCGACCAUUCAGUUUGAAGUGUCUGUUCCUUCUCCUUCUCAAUUUGUCGGCUUUGAUUUCUUCACUCUUUUGGGUUCUUCCCAGGCACACCGUUACUUAUAGUUUCCAUGGAAGAGAUGUAAUCAAGCAAAAUGCUGCUGUUCAGACAUCCUUCAGACUGGAAAAACCAGUUUCAUAGCUUAUUCCAUAUAUUGAAAGGUUAGAAUAUGAUAUAUAUGUUAUUCACAUGUACUGACGUGGUGUUUGGUGUUCUCUGUGAUCUGAUGGAGAAUUUUGAUGACUUCAAGGAUGAAUUGAAGUUUGGAUUGCAUCUAAACUCUAACGAGCAGUGGUUGUCCUAGUGAUNAAAUAUGGUUUGAGUUNGAAUCCCCUUUUCAGUAAGCUGUGAAAGAUAAUCUAUCCAUUUAAUCAAUUGUAAGAAAAUUGUAAAAGAAAUUAAAGAGGAAUUUGUCAAGCAUUUUGAGUUGAAGGUAGCGUAUAUAUUGCAAACUGCUUUAUUUGGUGAGUAUGAUACAGAU